rnacentral:rRNA from 1 species
GUCCACGCCCUAAACGAUGUCUACUAGUUGUCGGGUCUUAAUUGACUUGGUAACGCAGCUAACGCGUGAAGUAGACCGCCUGGGGAGUACGGUCGCAAGAUUAAACUCAAAGGAAUUGACGGGACCCGCACAAGCGGUGGAUGAUGUGGAUUAAUUCGAUGCAACGCGAAACCUUACCUACCCUUGACAUGGAUGGAAUCCCGGAGAGAUUUGGGAGUGCCCGAAAGGGAACCAUUACACAGGUGCUGCAUGGCUGUCGU